GGGAAAAUCUGUAAUGUUUGGAGAAGACAAGAUGGCGCUGGUUACCUCGUGUUAUAUCAAAGGGCAUUUUUGUUCACAAAUACCCGCUUAUUUUACGUCAUAGCGACUGGUUAGUUUUGGAAAUUAUAACUCAAUGGACGAGGAAACGAUUCUGUAUCAAAGAGAAGAAGAUGUGCAGUUAUUGUGAUGUUAUUUGUUGUGAAAGAGGGCCCGAAAUUUCGCUACAUCGCAGUACUGGUUUAUCAAACAUUUACAAGCAACAGCAAUUGAACUAUAUGACAAAGAAACCAAUGUGUACAAGCCAAUCAAGUUCUUCAGUUUAAAGGUUAGUUUACUUUUUAAUAAUUAGUUCAUUUAGUUGUAUAUUAAUACGAAUUACGAAGUACUGGAUACUAGUAAAAACUUACGAAGUGGCUAGAUUCGCCAGGGUGCAUUCCAUGUAAACUCUACGCCGGAGAUGCGCCAACAUGUACGAUCCUUCACGCCAAUACAUUGGAGAUUUUUAAUUUUGGGGACUUCCAUGUUUUAAAAAUAGCUAAUAUGGUGCGUUUUUAAUAUGUACUGCAUGUGAACAUCAUAUUCGUGUAGUUAUACUGUCAAUUUACAUGUGGUCAUGAAAUCAGGCACAAACUAAUAACUUGUUUUCGAGUGAUAUUACGCCAACAAUUUUGUAACCUCACGCCGGAUAUAUCAGGCGUGGAAUGCACACUGGUCUAUUCUUACUGGAACAGUACGCCGAGUUUGAUUUGCUAUUCGUACUGCAAUCGUAAUAUUUAAGGUAAACCCAACCCCAAACCCUUCUCUAACCCUAACCAAUAAAGGCCUAAUAAACUUAUUUGAAAGUUUUUUAUUUCGAGAAAUUUUUUUUAAAAUAUUUUAAGAAAAAUUUCUAAGUCAAACAGACAACCGACGGCUAAAACUAAACCCGGACCUAGACCGCGAGUGGUCCCUCGAAGAAACGAGGGACCUCAGACAACACAGCAAGAAACGAAAUACGCCCACUUUUCCCUCUUGUCAAAUUGGCUCCGCCUUUGCAUAAACAUUACUAUAUCCAAUUAAAUCUAUCCAAUAGGAAACCGUUAACGUCAUGUUUAUUUUAAUACAGGGUAUAUAAAAAAAGGUAAUCGAACUUCAGCGCGCUAUUGUACGUGAAUUACUCGGCGUAUGAACUUUUUUUUCAUAUUCGAAAAGAUGAGGUUUUUAACUGUUGAAUGACAUGUUUUCAUGCCAAAUGGAGAAAAAGUAAGCAAGUACGAGUCCGAUAAAAAAUGUUAGUCAGAAUCGCAUAUUACAACGGUAAAAAUAUGCGAUCUGACUAGCAUUUUUUAUCAGACUCAUACUUGCUUAUUUUUUAUCCAUUUGGUAUGAAGAACAUAUCAUUCAACAGCUAAAAGCCUGGUCUUUCCGAAGAUGAAAAAAUCUCGUUCAUACGCAGUAAUUCAGACACAAUAGCGCGCUGACGUUUGAUUACUUUUAUUUUGACACACCCUGUAUAAAAUCAACAUUUAUUCUGGAAAUUAUUUAUAGCAUAAUUAUUACAUAUCAGAUUUGAUUGACAGGCAUAUCGAUUUCGACCAAUGGGAAUUUUCCGUUGUGUGGGCAACAGGGAUUUCAUUUCUUACUGUGUUGUCUGCAGUCCCUCCUUUCCAAUCUCGUGCCCGGAAAUCUAAACCCGCGGAAAGGAGGGACCGCUCACAGUCUAACCCGGACCCGACCUCAUUUCACUUCGCACACACACACAACGCCUUUGCUGAAUCCACUACCAGCCUGAAUUGCUGAAAGCUAUUGCAAAAAACUAUUUUAUAUUACUACUUUACAAAAUGUAAGAAUCGGGUGCCAUACUUCAGUACGAUUAUUGGGUCGUACUAAUUACCGACAACAAGCACAAAAUUACCGACAACAAGCUGACAAUUACCGACAACAAGCUGAAAAAUACCGACAACAAGCAAAUACAUACUUUCAUUGUAUUAUAGUUAUUUGGUUGUUUUUGAGGAAACCCAAAAUAUAUAAGUUCGACAGAUUUUGUCAAACAUUGUUGAGUUAAAACAUUCCGCUAUUAAAGAUGAUGGAUUCGCGUAGGCAGACACCAUAUAAAAGUAUAGAUAGGAAACAAAAUUUCAAGUAGAAAAUCAGUAUUAACUACCCUAUUAUCUAUAAUAAUAUAACUACCAACUUCUAUAAAGUGUGUAUGUGUAUACUGUAUAAUGUGUCUAAAAUGUUUAAUAGUAACGAACAGAAACAAGCUAUAAAUUAUUUACAUCAAUUCAUGUAUGUAUUUGGGUUUCCUCAAAAACAGCCAUGCAUUCAUACAAAUAACUAUAAGAAUACAAUGAAAGUAUGUAUUUGCUGGUUGUCUGUAUUUUUCAGCUUGUUGUUGGUAAUUGUCAGCUUAUUGUCACAGUAAUUCUGUGCUUGUUGUCAGUAAUAGUCUGCUUGUUGUCAGUUGUUGAUGGUAGUUGUCGGUAAUUAGUACGACCACGAUUAUUAGUUUAAUUAAUCAAAAAAUCAUUUAUGUCACAUUUGGUACGUUUUACGAUUGAUCACGAAGAUCAGCGGAUAUUUCUAUACGCUUUCUAGAUAUUUACUAUUGAAUUUAACAAACUUUCCAGUCAGGCAAAGUUCUACCCCACACCAUGGAAUUUCAUUUCAGCACCCUAUAUCAUUCUAGAAUACCUGUAUUAAUCAUUUCAGCAACUUCGGCUAGCUUGUGUUGUUUUUGCUAAAUACCGCUCACAGGCUGUUGUCCAAGGGGGCACCCUCUGUCAUUAACCCCCUCGCCACAUUGCAACAUUAACAAAACAAUCGACCCCACUGCCUCAAAACUCUCUGCCCCUGUCAUACAGCAAACUCCUAGCCAUCUUCCACAACAGAUGUCGAGGGCCAAAUAAUUUCUUACUAUGGACCGUCUACACGAUGUGAUGUUUGCUUACAAUUGUUGUAUGCAACUUGCUGACCCCAUCCCUGCGACUUUGUGUCGUCUAUCUAGACGGUACGGUUAUUGUAUGUGUCAUUUCCAACUGAGAGAUAUAUUAGACCUUCUUUCUACUUUUUUUUUUACUUUGCCUUGGUCACACUUUGAACAGGAAGCGUACCAAUUUCGCUUUCUGUCAUUGUUGAUGUCCGCCAUUUUGAACUAUUUUUCAUAAAAAAUGUAUGAAAGUUGCACGAUUUUAAAUUGUAGGGCUAUCUACACACACAAUUUGUGUCGCAGGGAUGGCGUCAGCAAGUUGCAUACAACAAUCAUAAGCAAAAAUCGCAUUGUGUAGAUGGGCCUUAAAAGGCAUUGAACCAGACUAGUUUGAUAUACCAACAACUUUUUCCGAUUCCGAUGCCAAAUUUCCCAAUUUUGAAACACCCCUUGGAGAAUGUAAUUCCCUCGAUGCAAUGCAGGUGGUUUUGGCUUCAUUUUUUUUAAGCAUUUUAUAAAGGGUAUGCUAUGUACGUGCUAAGAAGCUAGUUUUGUUGGCAUGAUUUUUUUUGAAAAUUUCAGCGGCCAUGUUAUUCGAGCCAAAACAAGCUAGGUUACAUCAUGGAUUGUAAAAUAACAUUUAUUUUAUUAUCCAUGGUUAUAUGAAGUAAGGUUUUCUAUGUAAAAAAUUACUUUCUAUUCAAUACUGUAUACAGUUCAGUGGCUCAGACAACUUCAGAUUUUCGCCCGAAGACCUGGGAACGAAGUUGCCGAAGAACAUGCAUAAAUUAUGAAAUAAAUUAAUACUUCAUAUUUGCUGCCGAGCGUAGCGAGGCAGCACACUAUUCUUGACACGCGGUGGUUUCUCCAGAGUCCACUCGACCCAGUCUUUCGCGCGAGUUAUGUAUUGUCGAGAUCGAGAUCUUGUGUCUGUCUGUCUGUAAAGAUGUUUGUCGUAGUCCGGGGGGAAUAAUUAAGCUUCAGGAACGUUUGUUAAAUGAGGGGAGCGGUCAAAACACGAAGAUUUUCAAGCUUUUAAAUACGGAUCACAAGACAGCAAGAGAUCAAAAAUAUUCGGAAACAUUCAGGUAAGUUCGGCUCUAUUUUUUUCUUGUUAUAUACAUCAGGCAAUGACAUUUUUAGUGUUCAAUCUAGAGGCAAACAAUGUGCUUUUAUGAGUUUAUCAGCACUUUUAACUGCCCAAAAUAUACCACUGAUCGAUUGGUCAAAAACAACAUUUAAUCGUCUUAUUACAAGGAGACAAAAUGUACUUGUAAGCUCUGUCUUAGAACCUGCUGUCGAAUUCUUAUCUGUCGAUAAUUUACCUAAACUUGUCAGUGUUUCAAGUUGUAUACAAACAUGUUUCUUACAAGAUAUGUGAUUCUGUGAUCGACACAAGAAAUAUACCACAUGUAGUGUAUGCAAAAACAACUAUAACGCCUGUGAAUCCUUUUGAUACACAAAAUAAUGAUACUAUAAACAGUCUGCCCAUGGUGGUAGGACAAAAUAAUAGCAUUCUAUAUCCAUUGUAGUAGAGUCCAUUGAGGCAAAAAUAUCAUUGAUCUGCCUAUUGUGGUAGAGCCCAUUCAAGGCAAAAACUAUACAUCUGCCCAUUGUGCCAAUGUGGUAGAGCCCAUUGAGGCAAAAACUAUAGAUCUGCCCAUUGUGGUAGAGGCCAUUGAGACAAAAACUAUAUAUCUGUCCAUUGUGGUAUCUAGUGCCCAUUGAGGCAAAAACCAUUGAUCUGCCUGUGGUCUAGCCCAUUGAGGCACCAACUAUCAGCGAUCUGCCCCAGAGAAUCGAUAAUAGCAGGCAGAUAUUCAUAUAUUCGUGUUCACAGACUGUAAAAACAAUCGACUUCAAAAGAAAUUAAUUGGGCAGAACACGAAUAUAUGAAUAUCUGCCCUCCCCCCAAUUAUCGAUAUUCCGGCGCCUCUGAUCUGCCCAUUGCGAUGGAGCCCAUUGAGGCACCAACUAUCAGACUAGGGGUCAGCCAGGGGGGGGGGGUCGUAGUAUCCUAAAGAGCUGAUAAAUAUGGAUCAAAAUACCUAUUAUUAUGGUCAAAAUGUUACAUAAUACCUAAAGCAAUCAGAAGCUGUAUACCAGACCUAAUACCCCAAAUUAGUCAUAACAUUUAAAGUAAAUAUACAGUAUACUCGAAUUAAGUACCAUUGGACCCUAUAUACAGUACACAAAACCCUAUGGUCGACCCUACAGACUGCUCUGCCCAUUGUGGUGGAGCCCAUUGAGGCACCAACUAUCAGUGAUCUGCCAUUAUGUGCAAAGGCAAUGAGUUUGUAGUGUUCCAUUUCUAGAUGUUUAUAGCUUUAAACAAAUGUUGUCUGCACAUAUAUUGACUUACCAGCAAUUACAUGUAAUAUUACUAACAUUUUAACUGACUUUUGUAUAAGAUCUGAGAUAUGUCCAUUGUUAGCAUAAUAUGAAAUAAUUCUAGUGGCCUACAUAUGGCUGUGUCACUACGAUAAUGCUCACAAUUUCUUUCUUAUCAUAUAUUUUUGCAGUUCUGACUGAGAACAAUCUUAAUCAUGUCAAUGAAUGGUGUCAUCUGAAGCAUAUUAAACAGAAAUGUCAGCAAAUACAUUUUGUCUACCCAUCGGCAGAUUGUUCGGUUGGUCUGUGAAGGGGAAGCCAUGAAGGUGGCAUUACAUGUAAAACGAUAAUUGGAACAAAAACCGACUUUAUAGUAUUUUUAUAUAAACAUUGUUCUGUAUUCAGUGGCAAACUCACACAUGUGAUCACCAAGUUUAUACUUUAUAGUGCACUUUUUAUAAGAUGAGAUGUAAGAUACAAUCAGGGACGCCGGAACUGGGGGGGGGGCAGGAAGGGCAGCCGCCCCCGUUGCCCUUUACCAGGAGGGGCAAGGGGGGCAAAGGUGUCCUUUCAAUUUAAAGGAUUGCCUUGGCAAAAUAGCAAAUUGUCAGAAAUGUUAGUGCAAUUCUUUUACUAAUUUGCUUCAGAAAACGCAAGAAAUACAGUCAUCGAGCUUCAAGAAUAGCAUAAUCGCCUGGCAGAGAACCCCCUCACACCCCUAUCAUCCAAUAUAUAGAAAACAUGAUUAGGUGAAGUUCAACUCCCGAUGUUUUGCAAACAUCUCUUAGUAUAUAUCAAUUCAAAAGUGCCCUUUCACCAAAAUCUGCCACCCUUGCCUUCACAUCGUUCCGGCGUCCCUGGAUACAAUUGUAGAAGGUAAUUGAUGUAGAACAUGUGUAAGACAUUAAAUCAUACAUACAGUGAAAAAGACACUUUUUGGUUGUAGUACAUCCUGCAUGUACAUAUCGGCAGCAUUUUACUUGCGAUAGUAACUCCUAGUUAAUAAUAAUACUGUAUUUUUGUUGAUUUUAAAAUGUUUAGCGAGCAAACAUUGUUAUGUUACAAUCGUGGUUGGGUCAAACAAUAUGUGGAAAGCAAAAGUAGCGAAG